rnacentral:rRNA from 1 species
UGGAUCCAGACUUUGAUUCUGGCUCAGGAUGAACGCUGGCGGCGUGCUUAACACAUGCAAGUCGAACGGGCAAUUCCCCUUCGGGGGAUGCGCUAGUGGCGGACGGGUGAGUAACACGUGAGUAAUCUGCCUUAGAGUGGGGAAUAACACAGGGAAACCUGUGCUAAUACCGCAUAAAAUCAUAGGAGGGCAUCCUCUAAUGAUCAAAGAUUUAUUGCUCUAAGAUGAGCUCGCGUCCGAUUAGAUAGUUGGCGGGGUAAUGGCCCACCAAGUCGACGAUCGGUAGCCGGACUGAGAGGUUGGCCGGCCACAUUGGGACUGAGACACGGCCCAGACUCCUACGGGAGGCAGCAGUGAGGAAUAUUAGGCAAUGGGGGCAACCCUGACCUAGCAACGCCGCGUGAAGGAUGAAGGUUUUCGGAUUGUAAACUUCUUUUAUGAGGGACGAUCGUGACGGUACCUCAUGAAUAAGCCACGGCUAACUACGUGCCAGCAGCCGCGGUAAUACGUAGGUGGCAAGCGUUAUCCGGAUUUACUGGGUGUAAAGGGCGAGUAGGCGGGCUUGCAAGUCAGAUGUGAAAUACCGAGGCUCAACCUCGGGGCUGCAUUCGAAACUGUGAGUCUUGAGUGAUGGAGAGGCAGGCGGAAUUCCCAGUGUAGCGGUAAAAUGCAUAGAGAUUGGGAAGAACACCAGUGGCGAAGGCGGCCUGCUGGACAUUAACUGUCGCUGAGGAGCGAAAGUGUGGGGAGCAAACAGGAUUAGAUACCCUGGUAGUCCACACCGUAAACGAUGGAUACUAGGUGUGCGGGGACUGACCCCCUGCGUGCCGCAGUUAACACAAUAAGUAUCCCACCUGGGGAGUACGAUCGCAAGAUUGCAACUCAAAUGAAUUGACGGA